rnacentral:rRNA from 1 species
GAUGAACGCUGGCGGCGUGCCUAAUACAUGCAAGUAGAACGCUGAAGCUUGGUGCUUGCACCGAGCGGAUGAGUUGCGAACGGGUGAGUAACGCGUAGGUAACCUGCCUCUUAGCGGGGGAUAACUAUUGGAAACGAUAGCUAAUACCGCAUAAAAGACGAUAUCGCAUGAUAUUGAUUUGAAAGGUGCAAAUGCAUCACUAAGAGAUGGACCUGCGUUGUAUUAGCUAGUUGGUGAGGUAACGGCUCACCAAGGCAACGAUACAUAGCCGACCUGAGAGGGUGAUCGGCCACACUGGGACUGAGACACGGCCCAGACUCCUACGGGAGGCAGCAGUAGGGAAUCUUCGGCAAUGGGGGCAACCCUGACCGAGCAACGCCGCGUGAGUGAAGAAGGUUUUCGGAUCGUAAAGCUCUGUUGUAAGAGAAGAACGAGUGUGAGAGUGGAAAGUUCACACUGUGACGGUAACUUACCAGAAAGGGACGGCUAACUACGUGCCAGCAGCCGCGGUAAUACGUAGGUCCCGAGCGUUAUCCGGAUUUAUUGGGCGUAAAGCGAGCGCAGGCGGUUAGAUAAGUCUGAAGUUAAAGGCUGUGGCUUAACCAUAGUACGCUUUGGAAACUGUUUAACUUGAGUGCAGAAGGGGAGAGUGGAAUUCCAUGUGUAGCGGUGAAAUGCGUAGAUAUAUGGAGGAACACCGGUGGCGAAAGCGGCUCUCUGGUCUGUAACUGACGCUGAGGCUCCAAAGCGUGGGGAGCAAACAGGAUUAUAUACCCUGGUAGUCCAAGGGCGAAUUCCACAGUGGAUAUCAAGCUUAUCGAUACCGUCGACCUCUAGGGGGGGCCCCGAUACCCAGAUAUAUAUACACUUUAGUGAGGGUUAAUUUACG